AGGCCUUUACUGACGCUAAAGCUCGAAGGUGCGGGUAUCGAACAGGAUUAGAUACCCUGGUAGUCCGCACGGUAAACGAUGGAUGCCCGCUGUUUGCGAUAUACUGUGAGCGGCCAAGAGAAAUCGUUAAGCAUCCCACCUGGGGAGUACGCCGGCAACGGUGAAACUCAAAGGAAUUGACGGGGGCCCGCACAAGCGGAGGAACAUGUGGUUUAAUUCGAUGAUACGCGAGGAACCUUACCCGGGCUUGAACUGCAGGAGAACGAUUCAGAGAUGAUGAGGUCCUUCGGGACUCCUGUGGAGGUGCUGCAUGGUUGUCGUCAGCUCGUGCCGUGAGGUGUCGGCUUAAGUGCCAUAACGAGCGCAACCCCUUUCGUUAGUUGCCAUCAGGUAAUGCUGGGCACUCUGGCGAUACUGCCACCGUAAGGUGUGAGGAAGGUGGGGAUGACGUCAAAUCAGCACGGCCCUUACGUCCGGGGCUACACACGUGUUACAAUGGGUGGUACAGAGAGUGGGUCGUCUGCAAAUGCGAUCAAAUCCUAAAGGCCAUCCUCAGUUCGGAUUGGGGUCUGCAACCCGACCCCAUGAAGCUGGAUUCGCU
rnacentral:rRNA from 1 species